rnacentral:rRNA from 1 species
UACGGGCGAAAAGCCUAAAACUCAAAAGACUUGGCGGUGCUUCACACACGACUUAGAGGAGCCUGUCCUAUAACCGAUACUCCACGAUAAACCUAACCACCCCUUGCCAGACUCAGCCUAUAUACCGCCGNCACCAACCUACCCCAUGAGGGUAAAAUAGUAGGUACAAAAGCCAAACACACAAACGUCAGGUCAAGGUGUAGCUUAUGGGGUGGAAGAGAUGGGCUACAUUUUUUAAAACAAAACAAUAACGACAAAAUAUCUUGAAACUGAUAUUAGAAGGUGGAUUUAAUAGUAAAAUAAGCAAGAAAGCUUAUUUUAAACCCGCUCUG